CUUGUCUGAUGGUGGAUAUAUUUUCUUGACUAAAAACCACAGCCAAGGAAACCGGUUUCUAUCGUCCUACUUUGAAGGCUUGACCAAAAUACAGGGAUCAAAAACUGCUCUGCCUGAAUCAUGCACUACAAAAUUAAGUGCAGAAUUG